GUGUCACUAGCUCAGUUGGUAGAGCAUACGACUUUUAAUCGUAGGGUCACGGGUUCAAAUCCCGUGUGACACA
rnacentral:tRNA from 1 species